rnacentral:rRNA from 1 species
UACGAAGGGGGCUAGCGUUGCUCGGAAUCACUGGGCGUAAAGGGCGCGUAGGCGGAUCUUUAAGUCGGGGGUGAAAGCCCAGGGCUCAACCCUGGAAUUACCUUCGAUACUGGAGAUCUUGAGACCGGAAGAGGUAAGUGGAACUGCGAGUGUAGAGGUGAAAUUCGUAGAUAUUCGCAAGAACACCAGUGGCGAAGGCGGCUUACUGGUCCGGUUCUGACGCUGAGGUGCGAAAGCGUGGGGAGCAAACAGG